ACCACUACAAUCCUCCAACUUCACCCACUCAGCCUCCUAAUCCAUGCCCAAGGGGAGCUUGGGGAAAGAAUAAAUCUAAGCAGCAUCCCACAAAGUUGACCAUCUCCUCCCUUCCUGAGCAGCUCCAGCCAGAGGCCCCUCAGCAAGCACAAGCCUACCCACCUGGGCUAAUUAUCUGUCUCAGUACAUCUGGCAGCCUAUGACUAUCUCCUCUGCUCCCUGCCUGGCUCUGGUAGAGCAGCAGGAGUAGAGGCAAAUCCCAUAUCCUGGGCUCUUCCUGAACAGAAAACGCUCCAGAAAGGGAAGACCGGCAGAAAGAUAUGUUUCCCUUGAAGAACACCAAGUUGUAACUGCAGCUUAUGAAGCACCUUUCCACCUUCUGCCAUUUUGGAAAACCUUUUCCCUUGCAUCAUCUUCAGCCCACGUAACGGAGUAUUCUAUACUUAGGUUUUCUACUCAGAUCAUGAACCUUGAACUCAAGCACAGUCCUAGCUCCACACAGGGCUCCCCUGCUGGGGACAGGCCACAGUGCUUAUGAGAAAGUGAAGUCCACGGUUCACACCCUGGCACAUGAGGUUAAUCUGAAUUCAGUGGUUCAUGAUAUUUGACCUAGGAAAGAAGAUCCUGAAAGUCACAGAAUCAUUAAGGUUGGAGAACACCACUGAGAUCAUCUAGUUGAACCAUCAACCCAUCACCAUCAUACCAUUAAACCAUGCCACUCAGUGUGACACCUACCCUUUUCUUGAAAAUCUCCAGGAAAAGCUGAUAUAUGGGCAUUUUUGCUGACAUUCUUCCAACAAUGAUGACCUCCAUAAGAAUUUCUAGGCACCUCCUGAUGUAAAUCGCCUGAGUUGACUGUUAGAAGACACGCCAGAUCUGGAAGUACAUUUAAAAGGAAGUACUCAGUAGUAGAUUGCUUAGAAGAAUGAACAGGUGGCAUCUACCCAUCCAUCCUCCUCUGCUCACUGUCUAUAACGACACUGCAAGACAAAGGACUGUGGAUUCCCAUCCCUGGAGGUAUUCAAGGUCAGGUUGGAUUCAGCCUUGGGCAGCCUGAUCUAGUGGUUGGCAACCCUGCCUAUGGCAGGGGAUUGGAACUGGAUUUAAGGUCCCUUCCAACCCAAGCCAUUCUAUGAUUCUGUAAUUCUACAACUACUCACACAGACUUAGAGCCCACUCCAGUCACAGCUCUAUAGGUGAAUCUUCACAGCCCUCCAAGUUAAAAGAGCCAACACUCAUUGCAGCUACGGUGCGCCCUGUCUCGGUAUGAUUAUGCAUCUAUCUAGGAAUUUGUUUCAUCCCUGUGCCAGACAUCCAACAACUGCAGAGAGCAACACUGCUUAACUGAAUGUUUCCAAUGUUAGGCGCUGAAAGACAUGAUAAAAUAAAAAUGAUCUCUUUCAUUUCCCAUAGCACCUUCUCUUAGAGGGUCUGACAUGAGAAGAAUACCCUUUCUUAUGCUACUGGGCUUUGUAAUCCCAGAGAUCAACCUUCACAUAAAUGGGGAAAAGGAGGUAGACGGCACUCAUGGGAUUUCACUAAGACUAAACAAAAAGUUUACAACGGAGGCAGAAGGGAGACACAGUGCUGCAAACUUCUCUUCCACCCUUUAGACCUAGUACUACUUUUAUUUAUGAUCCUACAAUGCACAGGUCCUGCUACUCCUUCGCUGGAGAAAGGACAAAAUUACUAAGGUUUUUACACCACAUCUAAGGUGGAUACGACAAAACCUGACAUCAGACGAAUGCUUUAGUUCCAGUUUGACAACAGAUUCAUUAGAACGGUCCCAAAGAUUUGCAUCGUAAACAAAGCAAUAAACAACAAUGAAAGCUUGCAGCCUACUAAGGCUAUUCUGGGAGCCAGGACCUCAGCAGUAUCUCAGAAGGUCACAUCAGAAGGGCACACCAGCUGCUAUCAGGAGGUCUUGUGGCUACUUGGCUCUGGUUGGUGUCAAAUCCAUCCCCCGGUGCACGCCACAAAGCAGCCUGUGACUGACUCCUGUGAGUGACUCCGUGUAUUUCCAGCUCCCAUUUACUUAAUUUAGCUGCUGGCUGACGCCACACCUUCUUUCCCCAGCCACAUUCAUUACUCCAGGCCUUGAGGGAGAGCAGGGGUGCAUAUGCUGUUGCAGUCUUUUAUUUCUGGCAUGUGCCUGGAGUGCUGAGCUGGCCAAGGCACAUGGGAGAUCCCUCCCACCCCAGGGCAAAGGCUAUUUCAACCAUCCCUGGGAAGGGCCAGGAAAGGAAGCCUGCCAUGCAGACCUGGCAGCCAUCUCCAUUCCAGCUUCCAAAACCAGAGCAUGGAAGAAUUCACCUCUUAUCAGCAGCCCUGUUCCUCCUUGCAGCUCGCCCUGCAGCUUUCCAGGCUGCCUGCUGGAGUGAGAAGGGUGCAGCUCCUGGCACAGGGCUCAGAAAGGUGCGUUCACCCAGGUGCACCCAACCUGGAAGGCUGUGAUAGCAAUCACAGCCAGGCCUGCUGGUUCUGCCCCAAAUUGUUUCCAAGUGUAUUAAAACUAGGACUUGAAACAGCAAUGCCAGGCUUUGGCUUCGGCCAGUCCUUACCUGUCACCUGC
ensembl:lncRNA